GCNCCNAACGCUGUGNGNCACUNNCUCUAANACAUGCAAGUCGAACGAUGAAGCCCUUCGGGGUGGAUUAGUGGCGAACGGGUGAGUAACACGUGGGCAAUCUGCCCUUCACUCUGGGACAAGCCCUGGAAACGGGGUCUAAUACCGGAUAACACUCCUGCCUGCAUGGGCGGGGGUUGAAAGCUCCGGCGGUGAAGGAUGAGCCCGCGGCCUAUCAGCUUGUUGGUGGGGUAAUGGCCCACCAAGGCGACGACGGGUAGCCGGCCUGAGAGGGCGACCGGCCACACUGGGACUGAGACACGGCCCAGACUCCUACGGGAGGCAGCAGUGGGGAAUAUUGCACAAUGGGCGAAAGCCUGAUGCAGCGACGCCGCGUGAGGGAUGACGGCCUUCGGGUUGUAAACCUCUUUCAGCAGGGAAGAAGCGAAAGUGACGGUACCUGCAGAAGAAGCGCCGGCUAACUACGUGCCAGCAGCCGCGGUAAUACGUAGGGCGCAAGCGUUGUCCGGAAUUAUUGGGCGUAAAGAGCUCGUAGGCGGCUUGUCACGUCGGAUGUGAAAGCCCGAGGCUUAACCUCGGGUCUGCAUUCGAUACGGGCUAGCUAGAGUGUGGUAGGGGAGAUCGGAAUUCCUGGUGUAGCGGUGAAAUGCGCAGAUAUCAGGAGGAACACCGGUGGCGAAGGCGGAUCUCUGGGCCAUUACUGACGCUGAGGAGCGAAAGCGUGGGGAGCGAACAGGAUUAGAUACCCUGGUAGUCCACGCCGUAAACGUUGGGAACUAGGUGUUGGCGACAUUCCACUCGUCGGUGCCGCAGNUACGCAUNANUUCCCCNCUGGGGNUNCGGCNCAAGGUAAACUAAAGAUUGACGGGGCCCGCCANCGCGGAACUGUNGNUUANUNGACCACNGAAAACUACANGNUNNNUUNCCGAANAUNAAAANGCCCUUNGGCGNUNAGGGGCUGGUNCCACUUGNNGNAUUGGUAACCCCNANCCCCUNNNUUNCNAUNCUUGGGUGGNCAGANCCGGUAUNGAGGGGNANAAUUNCUUUUGUCC
rnacentral:rRNA from 1 species